rnacentral:rRNA from 1 species
GAUACCACCCUUGUAGUACUGGGACUCUAACCAUAGGCCAUGAAUCUGGUCUUGGGACACUGUCAGGUGGGCAGUUUGACUGGGGCGGUCGCCUCCCAAAAGGUAACGGAGGCGCUCAAAGGUUCUCUCAGUACGGUCGGAAAUCGUACGUAGAGUGUAAAGGCAAAAGAGAGCUUGAUUGCAAGACAUACAGGUCGAGCAAGGAUGAAAAUCGGACUUAGUGAUCCGGUGGUUCUGCGUGGAAGGGCCAUCGCUCAACGGAUAAAAGCUACCCUGGGGAUAACAGGCUUAUCUCCCCCAAGAGUCCACAUCGACGGGGAGGUUUGGCACCUCGAUGUCGGCUCAUCACAUCCUGGGGCUGUAGUAGGUCCCAAGGGUUGGGCUGUUCGCCCAUUAAAGUGGUACGCGAGCUGGGUUCAGAACGUCGUGAGACAGUUCGGUCCCUAUCCGUCGCAGGCGUAGGAAAUUUGAGAAGACCUGUCCUUAGUACGAGAGGACCGGGAUGGACGUACCUCUGGUGUACCAGUUGU